rnacentral:rRNA from 1 species
GGGCCCGCACAAGCGGUGGAGUAUGUGGUUUAAUUCGAUGAUACGCGAGGAACCUUACCAGGGCUUAAAUGUAGUCUGACAGGGGUGGAAACACCCCUCCUUCGGGCAGAUUACAAGGUGCUGCAUGGUUGUCGUCAGCUCGUGCCGUGAGGUGUCGGGUUAAGUCCCAUAACGAGCGCAACCCCUAUCAUUAGUUGCUAACAUUAGUUGAGGACUCUAAUGAAACUGCCCGCGUAAGCGGUGAGAAGGUGGGAUGACGUCAAAUCAUCACGGCCCUUACGUCUAGGGCUACACACGUGCUACAAUGGUAACUACAGAGGGAAGCUAUCUGGUGACAGUGAGCAAAUCCUUAAAAGUUAUCCCAG